rnacentral:rRNA from 1 species
AACGAACGCUGGCGGCAUGCCUAACACAUGCAAGUCGAACGAAGGCUUCGGCCUUAGUGGCGCACGGGUGCGUAACGCGUGGGAAUCUGCCCUUUGGUUCGGAAUAACAGCUGGAAACGGCUGCUAAUACCGGAUGAUGACGAAAGUCCAAAGAUUUAUCGCCAGAGGAUGAGCCCGCGUUGGAUUAGGUAGUUGGUGGGGUAAAGGCCUACCAAGCCGACGAUCCAUAGCUGGUCUGAGAGGAUGAUCAGCCACACUGGGACUGAGACACGGCCCAGAAUCCUACGGGAGGCAGCAGUGGGGAAUAUUGGACAAUGGGCGCGAGCCUGAUCCAGCAAUGCCGCGUGAGUGAUGAAGGCCCUAGGGUUGUAAAGCUCUUUUACCCGGGAAGAUAAUGACUGUACCGGGAGAAUAAGCCCCGGCUAACUCCGUG